rnacentral:rRNA from 1 species
AUACGUAGGUGACAAGCGUUAUCCGGAUUUACUGGGCGUAAAGGGCGUGUAGGCGGUCUUGCAAGUCAGAAGUGAAAUUCCUGAGCUCAACUCGGGCGCUGCUUCUGAAACUGCAGGACUUGAGUGCUGGAGGGGAUAGCGGAAUUCCUAGUGGAGCGGUAAAAUGCGCAGAUAUUAGGAAGAACACCGGUGGCGAAGGCGGCUAUCUGGACAGUAACUGACGCUGAGGCGCGAAAGCGUGGGGAGCAAACAGGAUUAGAUACCCUGGUAGUCCACGCUGUAAACGAUGAAUACUAGGUGUGGGGGGACUGACCCCCUCCGUGCCGCAGUUAACACAAUAAGUAUUCCACCUGGGGAGUACGAUCGCAAGAUUGAAACUUAAAGGAAUUGACGGGG